CCCUUAGAGUUUGAUCCUGGCUCAGAUUGAACGCUGGCGGCAGGCCUAACACAUGCAAGUCGAGCGGUAGCACAGAGACCUUGCUCUCGGGUGACGAGCGGCGGACGGGUGAGUAAUGUCUGGGAAACUGCCUGAUGGAGGGGGAUAACUACUGGAAACGGUAGCUAAUACCGCAUAAUGUCGCAAGACCAAAGUGGGGGACCUUCGGGCCUCAUGCCAUCAGAUGUGCCCAGAUGGGAUUAGCUAGUAGGUGGGGUAACGGCUCACCUAGGCGACGAUCCCUAGCUGGUCUGAGAGGAUGACCAGCCACACUGGAACUGAGACACGGUCCAGACUCCUACGGGAGGCAGCAGUGGGGAAUAUUGCACAAUGGGCGCAAGCCUGAUGCAGCCAUGCCGCGUGUGUGAAGAAGGCCUUCGGGUUGUAAAGCACUUCAGCGGGGAGGAAGGCGUUAA
rnacentral:rRNA from 1 species